UAUAUAUAUAUCUAUACUACUUUAAUAAGGAUAUAGGAAGGACAGAAUGGUAAUUGAACAAUGUGUUGAAAACACCCUCAAUGCACAAUGUACAACACUUGAAGCACCAAGAAACACAACAUAAUUUACCCUUCAACUGAUUCAUCUUCAACCGUCUAUUUCUUUAACUUUUUCACACGGAUUGUGAUCUGAACGGCUGAUAUUCAGCUCACACGGAUCAAGGGUUUUACUUUCAUUCGAUUUACUCUCACAAAACUUUAUCAACCUUCUCUCUCCCACUCUCUGCGACUCAUGAACAGAUCUGUGAGGAUUUCACCAGAUCUAGGGUUUUACUUUCAUUCGAUUUCAAAUCCAUGACCCCAUCCUGUGACGGUGUCGUGUGCAGUGUUAAAAUCCGCCGAUUAGGGUUCCGGCAGUGGGAUUCUCGAGCAGAUUGUUGGCAAAUGAGACGAGCAACUGGCGGUAGAUGGUGGUUGAGGUAGGUUCCGACAACCCGGUUCCGAUUUAUCGGCUGCAUGUACGUUUUCUGACAACGAAGUUUAGAAGCUGGUGGCGUGUUUGUGCUGGUUCGACAAAGCCAGAAAGCGGAGGCGACGGCUAGGGUUCCGAUUAGUGAUCUCGGUCCGAUGUUCUUCACGAGAGAUGAUCUACUCGAGAUGGUAAAGAUGGAAUUCCAGCAUUGCUUGGGGUUACAGGGGAUAUACCAGCAGCAGUUACCGUGGAGGAUAUUGAUAUUGCUGUGAAAGCAGCACGCAGAGCUCUUAAACAUGAUGAAGGAAAAGAAUGGGCAUCAGCUUCUGGGGCUCAUCGUGCAAAGUAUCUUCGUUCCAUUGCUACAAAGGUUACUGAGAAAAAGGAUAAGUUCGCUAAGCUUCCAAUGGAUACCUUUAAAUUCCAUAUCAUCAGGGAACCAAUUGGUGGUGUUGGGCUGAUUACUCCAUGGAAUUAUCCUUUGCUAAUGGCUAUUUGGAUAGUUGCAUCUGCACUGGCUGCUGGGUGUGCUGCAGUACUUAAGCCAUCAGAGUUGGCGUCUGUCACGUGUCUGGAAUUAGGCAAAGUAUGCAGGGAGGUGGGGCUGCCCCCUGGCACGUGUCUGCAACAAAAAUUCCUUCCGGCGCGUACACAACUACCACCAGCAAAACUGAAGAUGAGAAUUCUACCGGUGACAUCUAGAGUUGAAUUUCAUGUCUUAAGGUGGUUAUGAGGGUGUGCACCGUGAGUUCCAGCAAAUCAGCAAUGCCUAGAAAGUUUAGAAUGAGGGUUGUACGAUGGUGGUGGUUGUGCGAACACAUUUAGAUGGGCGAUUUGAAGAUGGCCAAAUUUUCCUAGCGAUUGAGGUAAGUACAGUCCUGCUUAGCUUCAUUUAUCAGCUAAUCUUAUCAUUCCGACCAGCAGUAGGUUGAGUGAAUAUGAUGUUUUAGGUCGGUUGGCAGCUAAGAUGUCUCUGACUGCUGUGAAUUUGGAGCCAGUGAAGUGGUGUUGUUUGAUCAAUUAACGUUUACGUGUUUUUUGAUCAAUUAGCGUUUCCUGUUACUAUGCAACAGACCAUUAUGUGGAGUGACAAACUUGGUUUGGUACCGGUGAAUAGUCAUGGGACCUAACUGUAUAUGGGGACUUAUAUUACCGUGCUUUAAUCUUUGUCAUAUAGACUAGAACAACUGCUCAAAAGGACUUAAAUUAUGGAACAUUGGGCUCGCUGGGAGGUACAAAGAAGAGUUGAAUUGUGAAAUUCAACAUGCUUUCAUUUUAUAAUUAUAAGCACUCAUUAUUUAACCUGACAUUUCACUGAUCAGCAGCUUAAAAUAUCUAAUGUCGCUUAACACAUUAGUUUUCUAAUUGAAAUGUGUUUUGAGUAGGUUAAUAACUUACUGAAGCAAUUCUAGGGGCUGUUACCAGAACUUUGGGUAUUCCAGAUACCAUUUUUUUCUUAACUGGAAGUAAAGAUGGGAUGUAACGCUUUGGGAUGCUUAGAGGGCAAAAUUGGUAUCAAUGGCCAAAGAUGCAUGAUAGACAACAUUAAUAUUGUGGUUGGCUCAUAGAGUUGUACUAAUCUGAUGGGAACAUUGAUCUGGUGUGGCAUCUUGGGAUACUUGUUUGUAUUGUUCUGCAGGGAGUGAAUGUUUGAUGGGAUGCUGUUCCAUAUUCCAUCAAUUGGCAUUGCCUCCCAUUUGCUUUGUUAUACGAUUUAUGUCUGUUGGUUCAUAGAUUUGGCUUCCUUGGGAUAGAAAAUGUUUGUAUCUGGGGUGGCCCUUUGGUUUCAUAUAUUAAUUAGCUGGUUAGUCUUGGUGCAAUUUAAGAGUGUUACAGGUUGGUGCUAAGAUGAAAACUGUUAUUUUUGUUGA